CAGAACUAGCAGAACUUGUCCCCAUGGAAUACGUUGGCAUACCAGAAUGCAUAAAACAGUAUGAAGAAGAAAAGUUUAAAAAGAAACAAAAAAGAGACGGAGUUUUGCCACGUUGCCCAGGCUGGUCUCGAAUUCCUGGUCAAGCAGUCCGCCUGCCUCGGCCUUCCAAAGUGCUGGGAUUAUAGGUAGUUGAUCAAGAACUUAAUGGAAAACAAGAUGAACCGAAAAAUGAACAGUAAGUUUGGCAUCUAGUCCAAACAAGACUGAAGAAUGUGCUGAUGGAGCAGUGCUGUUUUUGCAUUCAUAAUGCAUUUAUUGGCCCAUAUUUUUAUGUAACCUGUUACAAAAUCGACUUGACUUUUUCAUAAUGGACUUUUGUAUUGUACAAGGGACUGUUCACUGCUGUAUUGGUUUGCAAAUUUCUUGAAUUUAGCUCUUUAAUAGCUAACUAUAUUAUUGUUUUAUAUUUUAUAUUGCUAAAUAGAGAACCACACUUUAUAUAAAGCAGUUUUUGCAUUUGUUUAUUGAAUGAUGCAUCUUCUUCGGUGAAAUAUUUAUAUGCAUAAAUGGCAAAGGAAAGAAAUAAUAUAUAUUUUUAUGUUAUUGAGCAAUAUUUUUUAAUGUGUACCUGUCUUAUGGAAGAAAUAUGCAGGUAUAUAAGACCACGAUUUUGUAAAGUGCAUAUUAGAAUUUUUGUUUUUGUAAAUGGUUAAAUACAUUUCCUGGGUAACUUAGAAAAUUAAGUUUCUCAUAAGGCAACAGAUGGUUAAACUGAUUCUCAUGAAUACCCAAAGAUCAUGUAUAUAAUCGAAGUGUAUUAGUACCAUCCCAAGGUUUUUUUCUCAUUUAACAUAUAUUGUUUCAUAAUUCAGCAAGUACAAAUGCAAGCGCAUUGCACACUUUUUCCUUUCUAAACUUAAAGACAAGUCAAAAAGCCAUUUUUAGAACUAGAGGAUUUAAGAAGGUAGGAAUUAGGGUUUGUAUAUAUGUAUAUAUGGGACAUUUUAUCUUCUGGCCCAAAGUCAGAACUUUAUAAAAAUCUUGAGUUUGUUCACUAAUGUGAAAUAAGCUAUGUGUCCAGGGUAUUGCUCCCCUGAGUGUGUGUGAGUGCUGAGUAGUAUUGCAGAGAAUGUGAUGAGUUACUGUCACAACUUUUUCUAUAGAAAACAGGGGCUGCUUUUUAAACUGCUCUCACUAUGGGCACUUUACCAAAAUACUUCCAUAUCAAUUAUUUGAACUCAGUAGUUGUUUGACCUAGUUAGAUGUAGUGUUUAUUCAAGUUUGUAUGAAAUCAUGUUUGACAAUACUGUAAAUUAGGUUAAUUUUGUAAGUCUUAGCAUCAUUAUAUUGUGCUGUUUUGGAUAACACGUUUGUUACAAGCAUUUAAACUGUUUCAUUUGGUAAGUACCUUUA
rnacentral:sRNA from 1 species